UACAGAGGUCCCAAGCGUUGUUCGGAUUCAUUGGGCGUAAAGGGUGCGUAGGUGGCGGGGUAAGUCGGAUGUGAAAUCUCGGGGCUCAACCUCGAAACUGCAUUCGAUACUGCCUUGCUAGAGUACUGGAGAGGAGAUCGGGAUUUACGGUGUAGCGGUGAAAUGCGUAGAUAUCGUAAGGAAGGCCGGUGGCGAAGGCGGAUCUCUGGACAGUUACUGACGCUGAGGCGCGAAAGCCAGGGGAGCAAACAGG
rnacentral:rRNA from 1 species